ensembl:lncRNA
AGCGAAUAUACAAUGCUAUAUUCACAGGAAUGGGAGAAAGGUCAGGAAGGACAGAAAAUGAGUCCUGGCUUAAAUAUGUCAUCUUAGAAUAUUAGUUUAUGUUUCCAAUGAGUUUAAAGCCUGGCAACUUGAACUAGAACUUUGAAAUGAUGAGCAUGGUAAGUAAAAUAAGAAUUGAAGAGAGUCAUGGCUUGAACUCUAAAUAAACAAAUAUCAAAGAGAAACAGGAGCCCAGUAGAGCUGAAGAUGGUGUGAUCAUCAGGAAGCGGUGGAGAGAAAAGCAACAUAAUAUGAUAUUAUAAAAAACAAGGUAAGGAAGCAUUUGAGAAAGGAGAAAGUGGUCAUCAGGAUUAAAAUUUAGAGACAGGAAAGGAAAAAAGUUUCAAUACCUGCGAGGUAGAAUGCAAAUGGUAACUAAUUGAAUAAUUGCUAAAAGUGGAGGAAACACAGGUAAAAUGGCCCACAAGUGAGGAAGCCUGAUGCUCAAGAGGAAGAAAAAAACUGUAUGAUAACAGUGAAUCAUACGGGUUCACAAAUAGAGGAAGUUUUGAAGUUGGAAAAGUUUUGACUUUCUAUAAGGACGAAUGAAAUCUGUAUUAGUUCAUUAGGGCAUCCAUAACAAAUUGCCAUAGGUUGAGUAGCUUAAACAACAGGAACUUAUUUUCUCUCAGUUCUAGAGGCUGCUGCUGCUGCUGCUAAGUCACUCCAGUCGUGCCUGACUCUACGGCAGCCCACCAGGCUCCCCCGUCCCUGGGAUUCUCCAGGCAAGAACACUGGAGUGGGUUGCCAUUUCCUUCUCUAAUGCAUGAAAGUGAAAAGUGAAAGUGAAGUUGCUCAGUUGUGCCUGAUUCUUCUUGACCCCAUGGACUGCAGCCUACCAGGCUCCUCCUUCCGUGGGAUUUUCCAGGCAAAAGAGUACUGGAGUGGGCUGCCAUUGCCUUCUCCAAUUCUAGAGGCUAGACGUCUUGAGAUUAAGAUGUCAGUAAGACUGGUUUCUUCUGAGUCUGCUCUGUUUUCUUGGCUUUGUAGGUGGCUGUCUUUCUCUGUCUUAUUUGUUCUUUCCUCUGUGUAUUUCCGUGACCUGAUUUCUUUUUCCUAUGACAGCACGAGGUAUAUUGGAUUAGGAUCCAUCCUAAUAACCCCGUUUAACUCAAUCAGCUAUUUAAAGACCCUAUUUCCAAAUGCAGUCGCAUUCUAAGGUACUGGGGGGUGAGACGUCAACGUAUGGGAUUUGUGGGGACACGACCCCACCCCCCAAACCUUCUGUUGGAGCUUUGUUUCCUGUAAAGGGGAAGGAGUCGAAGUCAGAGGAGAGAGAAGGGAACCAAGAGGGAGUGAAGUCCCCGUGGGAGAUAGGAUGGAAAAAGAUGCAGGUGAGGCUUGGCCAUAGAGGAGGGAUCUUUACGGUAACAGAAACUGAAAACCAGAGAGAUGCAGCUGCUCUUAGUGUACUCAGAUUUCUUUCUCAGCUACAUUUCCUUCAGCCUUCCAUGGAUGCAAGGAUCCUGCUGAGAUGAACUUAAGUGGAACCUGAACCUCAGAGUGGAGGAGGCCUGGCAUGGUGCGGUUCAUGGGGUCACAAAGAGUCGGACACCACUGAGUGACUGAACUGAACUGAACUGAACUGAAUAUGUCUUUAUUACAGGCGAGUCUAGCCAAGAACCUAGAGUUUUCUGGAAAGAAAAACAUGUUUUCCUCCCCUACAGACACAUUAUAGUCAAUAAAUGUCCUUUUAAGAAAUCAAUGAACUAACAUAAUACUCACUUUACUGUGGUUUUUAAGCGUUGAAUAAAAUUUAAUUAAUGUUACUUUGUUCUGAAUUUUCCAAAUCUCCUGUAAAUGUGUUAUCAUACCUUCAUAAUUUAAAAAAUGAAAAGAAAAAAGAAAGAAAUAUAAUUACAGAGAAUAAAUUCAGUUAGGGAACUUUUGAAAUCUUGCUGGCAACUUAGAAGAAAAUGGGACAAAGAUAUGAUUUAAAUUGACUCCCCAAAAUGGAACCUUGGUGUCACAGAUGCCUCAAUUCUAUGUCUAUAUUUUGCAUUUAUUCCAAGACUUAAAAACAUGCAUUUUAUAUUUCUUCUUUCAUGGUAAGAUAUGAUGUGUUCUUAAAUUCUUAUUCAAUAAUAAUAUAAAAUAUAAUGAUGGUAUUCUUGAUGCUUUAUUUCCUUGGUUAAAAUUUAAUUUUUGGUCCUCACACUAGGUGAUUCGGACUAAGCUGAUAGAAUUUUCUGAGGUUGUUUAAUUCACUUCAUUAACACAAAAUAGCCAUCUACUAAGUUUUCAGUUUCGAACUACAUCAAUAUAGACAAGGGUGAGAAAGACGCAAUAGUAGUUACUUCAAGAAACUGAUAUAAUGUAGUCAAUGAAACAGAACGUAUAAAAGCAAAUAAUUACAUCGCAAGAUAAUCAACACUCUAAGGUAAAAUCCCAGAAUACUGAGAAAACAUUCUGUGUCAAUAAUGAGGAAACAGAAAACUAUUUCAUCUUAUGCUGUUGAGAAAGAAUAAGUAAGUCCUGUAAGAAUAAGUAGGACUUUUCAAAUAAUAAAGGGAAUUUGGGGAAGACAUGCAAAAUUGAGUUAACAGCAAAACAAAUACACUUAAUAAUUAAUUAACUCAAGUGACUGAAGUCCUCUCAGCUUGUAUAUAUAGUUCACACUGUAGACUAAGUGAAUGACAGUUAAUAGAUAAAUAGAACUCCAUCCUCAUUCCUACUGCAGACUAGAAAGAUGAGAGAUAAAUGUAUUUUCCUCUGCUCUUUUCUGGUUAAUCAUGGCUAUCUCGGACAGUUUUAAAGCUUUCUAAUGUGUAAACAAGAAUCAAGCUAAUAUCUCAUUUUCAAAUAGUGUUCAGUUAUGCAAAUCUCUGUCUUUCGUCUUUGCUUUUUAUUAGUACAGUGGUAUCCAGUGAUUAUAAUGGCAGAGGAUUUUUUAAAACUAUUCUAAUGUCGUUUAUAUAAGGAGAAAAAUUUUUGUAUCAAGCAUCUUCUACAAAAUGAUGCAUAGAUAAAUAAUUCAGGGGAUAUUUAUGAGUUUAUUCAUUUGUUUUAUCCAUAGAAGAAAUAAUGCACAAAUAAAUAUUCAUGAGCCAAUUUGUGUUACUGGUUUAUUUCGUGAUACCCAGAUGUUAUUUUUUUCCUCUUUGUAUUCAGUAAUGAUCAUCUGAGGUUUAAAUGCAAACACUAGGUGUAGUUGUCAUACCUGUCCAUCAUUAAAAAAUGAAUAAUACACCUUCAUGAGGAAAAAAAAUAACUUACUGCCUCCUUUUCAAUAAGACAAUACCAUUUGAAACCCUGCUGUGUAUUUCAGAACAAUUUUGUAUCUACACUGAAGCUUACAAACACAGCACUUGAUAACUUUUUGGUCUCAGGAUCUCUUUACAUAUAGUCCUAAAAAUUAGUGAAAACCUCAACGAAUUUGCUUUAUGUGGGUUAUAUCUAAUAAUCUGGUUCUACUAGAAAUAUUCCAAAUUAAAUUAGUAAAUUUAAAAUAUUUAUCAGUUAUUUAAAAGCAAAAAUUGCAAAUCUAUUAUAUAUAUUGCACUUCACUAG